rnacentral:rRNA from 1 species
AGGGAAUCUUCGGCAAUGGGGGGAACCCUGACCGAGCAACGCCGCGUGAGUGAAGAAGGUUUUCGGAUCGUAAAGCUCUGUUGUAAGAGAAGAACGAGUGUAAGAGUGGAAAGUUCACACUGUGACGGUAUCUUACCAGAAAGGGACGGCUAACUACGUGCCAGCAGCCGCGGUAAUACGUAGGUCCCGAGCGUUAUCCGGAUUUAUUGGGCGUAAAGCGAGCGCAGGCGGUUAGAUAAGUCUGAAGUUAAAGGCUGUGGCUUAACCAUAGUACGCUUUGGAAACUGUUUAACUUGAGUGCAAGAGGGGAGAGUGGAAUUCCAUGUGUAGCGGUGAAAUGCGUAGAUAUAUGGAGGAACACCGGUGGCGAAAGCGGCUCUCUGGCUUGUAACUGACGCUGAGGCUCGAAAGCGUGGGGAGCAAACAGGAUUAGAUACCCUGGUAGUCCACGCCGUAAACGAUGAGUGCUAGGUGUUAGACCCUUUCCGGGGUUUAGUGCCGCAGCUAACGCAUUAAGCACUCCGCCUGGGGAGUACCACCGCAAGGUUG